GCUCUUCCUCCUGUCGGGGAGACUGUCAGAGUCUGAACCCCGUGUUACCCCCGGAGGCCCACUGCUCGGGGGUGUGGACAAGCCGGACCCAGGCAGGGUGGUGGAGCACUGUCUCCACUGAGGAGCCUGGGGUGCGCCGCGUGGAGGAACGGUGGUGUCUCCUCUCUCCAGAAGCCUGCCCUGGCCAUAACCACCACAGCUCUCUGCACUAGAUCACCAAACCCCGAACACUGGCGACCUUAUCUGUCGAACCCUGUCUUGUUCCUAGACCAAGGAAGGAGCCGGCCGCGGGUCCCGUCCCUCCCGUGCUCACUGUUCUCACACUGCAGCGCGGAGGAGUCAGGGUGGAGACAGACACGAGAGAGGUGAGGGGCAGGCAGUCCUGGGGGCGCAGGGAAGCACCCGAGGCUGCAAGCAUCUCCAGACCAGCUUAAGACUGCGCGGGCCCGACCCGGAGCUUCAGCCCUUCCGCUCCUCAGCCCAGGCUGACCCGGAGUCAACGGAGAGCAGCUUUCCGAUGCGCGCGCUGUCUCCACGGGGGACAACACGCCUUGGACCUCACCCGGGCACCGUCAUAGAGAGGCUGGGCGAGGAGAACUGGGUACACGUCCCACUCGUGACCACCGAACACUGUGGAUCCUGCUUCUGGCUCCGUUUCCUCUUUUUCUUUGGCUCCACAAAGGGUCCUUGUAUCAAGUAUCUAACAAGACUUUUGACUUCACAAAAUAAAGCUUGCAUAUCACCAUCAGAAGCAACAAUUAGAUGCUCCAGUGCAGCUUACAUCAACCAGGAUGUACUACUGGGAACUGGCUACCCUAACGGAGCAGCGAGAAACCUUCUGUUGGGUUGUCGUCAGGAGCCCCAGGGCCCAGCUCACCCAGCCUGGGCAUUUUCCCUGGGACCUAAGUGUCUGGCAUCAGUGAUGUUCUUGUCACUGCACAGGCAGCGAGAGACAUCUGGGGAGACACCGGGCCAGCCUGGGGGCUCCGCUCCGACGGCACCUGUACCUACGAGUGCUUCUCCAGUGCCUACUUUUAGUCUCUGGAUUUUCCUUACAUCUCGCAGAUGUGCCCGCAGUCAACUGUAACUCUCCCUGGGUAGACAGAGAUUUAAUAAAU
rnacentral:lncRNA from 1 species